rnacentral:rRNA from 1 species
AGAGUUUGAUCCUGGCUCAGGAUGAACGCUAGCUACAGGCUUAACACAUGCAAGUCGAGGGGCAGCAUGGUCUUAGCUUGCUAAGGCCGAUGGCGACCGGCGCACGGGUGAGUAACACGUAUCCAACCUGCCUUAUACUCCCGGACAGCCUUCUGAAAGGAAGAUUAAUACGGGAUGGUAUCACGAGCCAGCAUUUUCUCGUGAUUAAAGAACUUCGGUAUAAGAUGGGGAUGCGUUCCAUUAGAUAGUAGGCGGGGUAACGGCCCACCUAGUCUACGAUGGAUAGGGGUUCUGAGAGGAAGGUCCCCCACAUUGGAACUGAGACACGGUCCAAACUCCUACGGGAGGCAGCAGUGAGGAAUAUUGGUCAAUGGGCGCGAGCCUGAACCAGCCAAGUAGCGUGAAGGAUGACUGCCCUACGGGUUGUAAACUUCUUUUAUAAAGGAAUAAAGUGAGGCACGUGUGCCUUUUUGUAUGUACUUUAUGAAUAAGGAUCGGCUAACUCCGUGCCAGCAGCCGCGGUAAUACGGAGGAUCCGAGCGUUAUCCGGAUUUAUUGGGUUUAAAGGGAGCGUAGAUGGGUUGUUAAGUCAGUUGUGAAAGUUUGCGGCUCAACCGUAAAAUUGCAAUUGAUACUGGCAGCCUUGAGUACAGUUGAGGUAGGCGGAAUUCGUGGUGUAGCGGUGAAAUGCUUAGAUAUCACGAAGAACUCCGAUUGCGAAGGCAGCCUACUAAACUGCCACUGACAUUGAUGCUCGAAAGUGUGGGUAUCAAACAGGAUUAGAUACCCUGGUAGUCCACACGGUAAACGAUGAAUACUCGCUGUUUGCGAUACACGGCAAGCGGCCAAGCGAAAGCGUUAAGUAUUCCACCUGGGGAGUACGCCGGCAACGGUGAAACUCAAAGGAAUUGACGGGGGCCCGCACAAGCGGAGGAACAUGUGGUUUAAUUCGAUGAUACGCGAGGAACCUUACCCGGGCUUGAAUUGCACUCGAAUAUAGCGGAAACGUUAUAGCUAGCAAUAGCGAGUGUGAAGGUGCUGCAUGGUUGUCGUCAGCUCGUGCCGUGAGGUGUCGGCUUAAGUGCCAUAACGAGCGCAACCCUUGUCUAUAGUUACUAACAGGUGAUGCUGAGGACUCUAUGGAGACUGCCAUCGUAAGAUGUGAGGAAGGUGGGGAUGACGUCAAAUCAGCACGGCCCUUACGUCCGGGGCCACACACGUGUUACAAUGGGGGGUACAGAGGGCCGCUACCACGCAAGUGGAUGCCAAUCCCGAAAGCCUCUCUCAGUUCGGACUGGAGUCUGCAACCCGACUCCACGAAGCUGGAUUCGCUAGUAAUCGCGCAUCAGCCAUGGCGCGGUGAAUACGUUCCCGGGCCUUGUACACACCGCCCGUCAAGCCAUGGGAGCCGGGGGUACCUGAAGUGCGUAACCGCAAGGAGCGCCCUAGGGUAAAACUGGUGACUGGGGCUAAGUCGUAACAAGGUAACC